AGGUAUUGGUGUUACUUAUACCUGUGGUUUUUGCCAUCCGCAGGUGUGAUGUUCUCUAUAGCUAUGGUUUUUAAAAACCGCGAGUAAAAAAGUGCGUUUUAACAAUGUCGUUUUGCCCAGUAUAUACAACCUUAUGUCUUUUCUUCCUCCCUCAUCCCUGUUAUGUGCAACGCAAAAAAAAAUCAUUCACCCCUCUCGUUUCAGACCUAGCCAGAGCUCCACUUUCCAGAUCUCACAACCCUUUUAAGACAUGCUCGAAAGCACUGUAGCCGGCUUUGACGACGAUGUAGAUGAAAUUGCAAAUCGGAGAAUGCAUUUGAGUCGGAGAAGAGCCUGAGAUCAUUUAGCCCAACUGGUUUGGUUCAAAAGUCACUUGACUUCAACCAUUGAUGAUUUCAAGUUCUUCUCAUCAACAAAACCAAAUAUUGAAUCCCUAAUCAUCCAUAUAAUUUCAUUUGCUUGGAUAACGAAUAAUCGUAAAACACGUACGGGCUCUAGGUUUUGGUAAGUUAUUGUUCUCAACCUAGAUGUUAAUUAUGAGUUCUUAACUAUGAUUACAUCCGCCACUUCUUAGCUUGUUAGUUGUUUAUGAGUCUCUUUUUAUUUCAGUACGUCCGAUAAACGUUGGAUUCAUAUUUUUUUUGGGCAUUAUUAUGUUGUGUAAAUGCUAGAUUUACUUGUUUUCCCUUUGACGGUGAUGGUGUGUCUCUUUGUGCAGUUGUGCUAUGGUGUUGUGAAAUUAUGGAGUUCAAUUUUCAAUAUAAUUUUCACCGAAGAUAUAUCUUGCUUUCUUGUUUUUGAUGCCAUUCAAGGCCUCUUGGCAGUAGGGACUCUGUGAGUUGUUGGCACUUUUGUUAACAAUGGUCAAUGAAAGAAUACUGUGGAUUUUUUUUGUAAAAGAACGAAAUUUUUGCUUCUCAGUUUUGAAUUAAUUCAAUGCAGGGAUGGCAGGGUUUGGGUCAUGUAAUUGAUAAGUUUGGUGAUUGAAUGUAUGGAAAUGAAUCUUGUGAAAUGGUUCAAUUGUUUAAAAUGAAGUGAGAAGACCUAGUGUACCUCAAGAACAAAUGUAAAGAAUCUCAUUUGUUCUUUACUUAAUGCUUCAUUAGUUGAUUUUACUUAAUGAUUUUGUUUCAAUAUUUCUUGUUUAAGUUAACUUUGUUUAAUAGGGACUUGGAAGCAGAAGCUCAAGAAAAAGCUCUGUCAUUAGUUUGGGUAGUCCCUGUGAGUUUUUCAUAGUCUUCAUCUUCUUUAAUUCAAAUGAUUUGUUCUUGAUAUGGUACCCCAUACCAAGCACUAAGCAGACUUUUGUAGGUCUCUCUAUAUUUAAUUUAGCUUUAUACAGUUGUGUUACAUUGGGGUGAUUAUCCUCAUUCUGUGUUUCCUGAUGGAAAGGAUGUAUGUUUCUUUGGCUCUAAAUCUUGUUUACAUCUUAAUUGUCUCUCAAGUUUAUAACGCAUUGGGGAAUGUUCUAUGCCAUGGCAGCAAAAGAGUCACAAAGCAAUGGCACAAGAGUUUCCCGAGUGAGCAUAACUCAUGAUAUGAAAUGCAGGAUCUUCGGUGAUAACUUUCAGUUACUCAUACCCCAUUCCCAUGGCACAAUACUUUAGAAUUAGGAAUGCUUGAGCUAUUAUUUCUUGUAUUGUAGAUUUUGUUAAGUGUAUAAGUUCUCCCGAUUUUUUCAUUUCUUGUCGGAUUGUUUAAUUUCAAUAUAAGAGAGUUGAAUAUGCUAUUCGUUGUUAUGAACAAUGUAUUGGUGUAAUGUUUAAUUUCAAUAUAUUUUGUUUGGCUUUGAAUAA